rnacentral:lncRNA from 13 species
CAUCAGUGCUGUAAGUAGUUGAAGACCCCUGUUCAUACUGGCCUGUCAUUUCAUGUAAGAAGAGGCGGAAGAGGGUAUGCCUCAGGCAAGGCACAAUCAACAGAUUGAUAUCACCAAAGGCUCGGGUUCUUCCUUUGCUGGUUAUUCUGCUCAGUGGCACAUUGUGGUCCCAAGGUAGCUGUGGCCAUUCCAGGUAUCACAUGCCAGUUGACACUGUUCAGAGGCAGACGGGGCCCAUUUCAGUCUCCUUGUUGAGAGAAGGAAGUCUCUCCCAGAGGCUCCUCCCAGAGAUCACCUCUCUCAUUGGAGGAACUUGGUCACAUGCUCACUCUCAAGCCAAUCACUGGUUAAGGGGAUGGGAAAGGCAAUGUGAGCACACAGCAGGGAUAGAGCUGUCUGCAGGCCAGGAAGAGCACCCUUACCAAGAACUGAAUCAGCUACACCUCCUCCUUGUACCUGCAGACUUCAGAACUAUUCCCCAGCUCCCCUGGGGCAGCCCUCGCCCUCAGAGAGACUGAGGAGUGCAUGAGUCAGCACAUUCCUUCUCUGCCUCACCUCGCCUGCCUGCCUGGGAUCAGAAUCAGCCAACACCCAUUCCAAACACACUGGUUACACGGUCCCACCUCCACCCAGCUCUGCUGCCAGAGUGGCACCUGGUUUGCCACACCCUCGCUGCAGCCUUAACCCUCCCACGGAAGCACAGAAGCAGAUCCACCUCCACUGAAAGCACCUCCAACUCUCAGGAGUCAGGUAAAUGAGGACUGGCUUUUAUAGUGCACACUUCCGAAAGGACUGGAGGCUGCUGUUUACAGUGAGAAAUGAAGCGAUCCACCAGCAAGGCCUGGAAUGGAAGGACAGUAACAGUGUAAGGAAGUCCAUGUGCCUUUGCUUGGCAGCAGGCAAGAAUUUCUUGUGUCAGGAAUCUUGAUUUAAACCAGGCUGGGUGGAUUAAGCCUGUAAUCCCAGCACUUUGGGAGGCCCAGGCGGGAGGAUAGCUUGAGGCAAAGAG